rnacentral:snRNA from 1 species
AUCACUUCUCUAUUUUGGCUAAGAUCAAGUAUAGUAUCUGUUCUUAUCGGUUUAAUCUCUGAUAUGUUCUCCAGAGGACUAUAUAUUAGCGGGAUUUUGCCGGGGAGCUGAAAGAGGGCUUGCUCCUUUCACUCCGCAUCGACCUGGCACUCGGUGCAGCAAAGGAGUGAUGCCUUCUCU